GGAAUCUCUCUCUAUCCUCUCUCUC
rnacentral:misc_RNA from 1 species